rnacentral:rRNA from 1 species
UACAGAGGUCCCAAGCGUUGUUCGGAUUCACUGGGCGUAAAGGGUGCGUAGGCGGUCGGGUAAGUCUGACGUGAAAUCUUCAAGCUUAACUUGGAAACUGCGUCGGAUACUAUUCGGCUAGAGGAAUGGAGGGGAGACUGGAAUACUUGGUGUAGCAGUGAAAUGCGUAGAUAUCAAGUGGAACACCAGUGGCGAAGGCGAGUCUCUGGACGAGUACUGACACUGAGGCGCGACAGCGUGGGGAUCAAACAGG